UAGAGGUUUAGCACAGUCUGGUAGUGCACUUCGUUCGGGACGAAGAGGCUGAAGGUUCAAAUCCUCUCACCUCGAU
rnacentral:tRNA from 1 species